ACUUGCUAUUGUCCCUCCGCUCCGCUCUAAGGGCCUCGAGGCGAUCAGGAAUCUAUCUCUCCCACCUGCAGUAUCCCAUAUACAAUCGGGUUCUUCUUCCUGGGUGUUCUUCAGCAGCGACCCAGCGAGGCAAGCUCACCAGAUCCACCGAACGUGGCCAUGCCUAGCCUUCUCUAAGCGGCUAAAGAACGCGUCAAAUGGCUUUUUACAGAGACGACGGUAGCUAUGGUGAGUCGCUUCUUUUCUGCCGGUAUUCUCUCAAUCCACUCUGCCCUCCACAGAAAAAAAAAAUUAAAUAAAUAAAAAAAAAAUAAAUAAAUAAAUAAAAAAUAAAAGAAACCCGACUCUCACCCCCCAGUGCCCCCACUCGGCUUGGGCUGAGUGGGGUUGUCAAAAAGUAGUACUUUGUGAUCAAAGCCAGCCGAUCAACCACCAUGAGAAAAAUCCCCCCGCUCACCUGAUCUUGCCUUUCCCCAUAACUAUCUCCAUGCAAGCCUGAGGUUAAAAAAUAAUGGUUUGAUGACGGGGGGACGUCGGGCUAGUUAUUCUAAAUUGAAAAUUAACUGGAACUAUUUUGGUCUGUAGAUUUUUUUUUCCUUGGUAAUUCCCCCCUUCCCUAACUACCCAAGAGUAGCCACAUGUUCGUAAAGAAGUAGUU
rnacentral:sRNA from 1 species